AUUGAACGCUAGCGGGAUGCUUUACACAUGCAAGUCGAACGGAGAGGCGGAGGGGUGAGUAAUACAGGGAAACGAGCCCAGUGGCGGGGGAUAAGUACUAGAAAGAGUGCCUAAUACCACAAACUAUUGGAGCGCCCGAUAUCGGAGUAGUUAGUUUGUGGGGAAAGGGCACACCAAGGCAACGACCCUUCGCGGGUUUGAGAGGACGACCAGCCACACUGGGACUGCGACACGGCCCAGACUCCUACGGGAGGCAGCAGUGGGGAAUUUUGCACAAUGGGGGAAACCCGGAUCCAGCCAUGCCGCGUGUAUGAAGAAGGCCUUCGGGUUGGAAAGUACUUUUGGCAGAGAAGCGGUAUCCGCAGAAUAAGCACCGGCUAACUCCGUGCCAGCAGCCGCGGUAAUAC
rnacentral:rRNA from 1 species